GAUGAACGCUGGCGGCGUGCCUAAUACAUGCAAGUCGAGCGGAUGGAUUAAGAGCUUGCUCUUAUGAAGUUAGCGGCGGACGGGUGAGUAACACGUGGGUAACCUGCCCAUAAGACUGGGAUAGCUCCGGGAAACCGGGGCUAAUACCGGAUAACAUUUUGAACCGCAUGGUUCGAAAUUGAAAGGCGGCUUCGGCUGUCACUUAUGGAUGGACCCGCGUCGCAUUAGCUAGUUGGUGAGGUAACGGCUCACCAAGGCAACGAUGCGUAGCCGACCUGAGAGGGUGAUCGGCCACACUGGGACUGAGACACGGCCCAGACUCCUACGGGAGGCAGCAGUAGGGAAUCUUCCGCAAUGGACGAAAGUCUGACGGAGCAACGCCGCGUGAGUGAUGAAGGCUUUCGGGUCGUAAAACUCUGUUGUUAGGGAAGAACAAGUGCUAGUUGAAUAAGCUGGCACCUUGACGGUACCUAACCAGAAAGCCACGGCUAACUACGUGCCAGCCGCCGCGGUAA
rnacentral:rRNA from 1 species